GGCGAACGCUGGCGGCGUGGAUUAGGCAUGCAAGUCGAACGGUAUCAUCCUUUCGGGGGUGAGAGAGUGGCGAACUGGUGAGUAACACGUAGGUUAUCUACCCUCAAGACGGGGACAACCCAGGGAAACUUGGGCUAAUACCGGAUGUGAGCAACUUUUAGUUGUUUGAAAGGUGGCGUAAGCUGUCGCUUGGGGAUGAGCCUGCGUCCUAUUAGUUAGUUGGUGAGGUAACGGCUCACCUAGGCAAUGAUAGGUAGGCGGCCUUAACGGGUGGUCGCCCACACUGGGAUUGAGAUACGGCCCAGACUCCUACGGGAGGCAGCAGUCGAGAAUAGUCUACAAUGGUCGGAAGACUGAUAGUGCGACGCCGCGUGAACGAUGAAUCCCUUCGGGGUGUAAAGUUCUUUUAUAUGUGAGCAGUGCUUCUUAUAUUAACAGUAUGGGGAGAGAGAUAUUAGCAUAUGAAUAAGCAACGGCUAACUCCGUGCCAGCAGCCGCGGUAAAACGU
rnacentral:rRNA from 1 species